CAGAACCACUUAGUCCUUUUGUAAC
rnacentral:piRNA from 1 species